UACGUAGGGUGCGAGCGUUGUCCGGAAUUACUGGGCGUAAAGAGUUCGUAGGCGGUUUGUCGCGUCGUUCGUGAAAACUUGGGGCUUAACUCCAAGCGUGCGGGCGAUACGGGCAGACUUGAGUACUACAGGGGAGACUGGAAUUCCUGGUGUAGCGGUGAAAUGCGCAGAUAUCAAGUGGAACACCAGUGGCGAAGGCGAGUCCCUGGACAUUUCCUGACACUGAGGCACGAAAGCUAGGGGAGCAAACAGG
rnacentral:rRNA from 1 species